GAGUUCAAGAGUACGUGAAACCGCUUAGUAGUAAACGGAGGGACUCUCGAAGUCGGCGGUGACGGUUCAGGGUGACGGCGGGGCGGCCUGGGGGCUUGGGAUCCGCAAGGACCCUGCCCUUUUGUCAGCUCUGUCGGCGCCUGCACUUCGUUGCCGCCAUACGCGAUGAACCGUUUCCGGCGGACCGAGGGCGUGGGUGAAGUUUGUUGGCCUCGGCUUUCAAGCCCCGCGUUCCUGGCUCUGUCGGGGACGGGUAGUGGAGCGAUCUCUUAUAGAGAGUGCCCUUGCUGGCACGGUUCGCAUCUCUAUCGCGAGUAGGUCGGCGGUCCCUCCGACCCGUCUUGAAACACG
rnacentral:rRNA from 1 species